rnacentral:tRNA from 1 species
GCCACCGUAGCUCAGUUGGCCAGAGCAGCCGAUUCGUAAUCGGCAGGUCACGAGUUCGACUCUCGUCGGUGGCU